AAAGGUUUGAUUUUAAUUUUGAGAAUCUUUAUAUAAUAAAGAGUUUUUAUUUGAAUAUGUGUUAAUUUCAACUAUUAAAAAAAUUAAUUAAUCAAAUCACAAAAAUAAACAAAUAAUAAAAAAAACAAAGGGAAGAGGAUGCAUUUUAAUGACAAAUGUGUGCUGAAUAAGGAAAAGAAAGAUGGAACGGGCUAAAGGCCCACCUAAAAAAUAAUAAAAUAAAAAAAAUGUAACAAAAAAUAAGGGGGUGAAUAAUAGUUGGUCCAGCGCGCUGUAAGGCCUAAAAGGCAUCUGGCCCAACUCAAGAGGGUCAAGAGAGUCAAAGCGUUGACUCAAU
rnacentral:lncRNA from 1 species